GAAUAUUGGUCAAUGGACGGAAGUCUAAACCAGCCAUGCCGCGUGGAGGAUGAAGGUCCUCUGGAUUAUAAACUUCUUUUAUAGGGGGAGAAAAAGGGUCUUUAAAGAUCAACUGACGGUACCCUAUGAAUAAGCACCGGCUAACUCCGUGCCAGCAGCCGCGGUAAUACGGAGGGUGCAAGCGUUAUCCGGAUUCACUGGGUUUAAAGGGAGCGUAGGCGGGCAGUUAAGUCCGUGGUGAAAGCCCUCAGCUCAACUGAGGAACUGCCAUGGAUACUAAUUGUCUUGAAUGUCGUUGAGGUUUGCGGAAUGGGUCAUGUAGCGGUGAAAUGCAUAGAUAUGACCCGGAACACCAAUUGCGAAGGCAGCAGGCUAAACGAAUAUUGACGCUGAGGCUCGAAAGCGUGGGGAUCAAACAGG
rnacentral:rRNA from 1 species